UCCCUCCACCCUGACUUCACUUUGUCCCACAGUGAGAAACACAUACACACUGGUCAGAUUUGCUUAGCCAUGCAGGUGAAGAUCCAGCCCUGUCUGAGGAUGGGCACCUUCCUCCUCCUCUUCUUGUUCACCUUAACAUCAUCAGCAGAGGAAGCCCAUGCAGACAUCAUCAUAAAAAGUGUAAAUCUCACUAUCCAGCCCAGGAAUGAAGUUCAGAGGGGUACAAAUGUGUCACUGACUUGCCUGGCGGAGGUCAGCUACAGCGCAAUGUCUCAACCAAGCCACAAAUACAUAUUCUACAAAGAUUAUCAGCCAUUACAUACAAAAGAGACCAGUAAUACAGAGCUGCCCUACUUCAUAUCAGAUGCCAGAGUGGGUCACUCUGGGAAAUACAAAUGUGCUGUGGUCAAUGGGAAGCAAAAGAAGGAAAGCAGUGUCAAAGACCUGAUGGUGAAAGGUCUACAAACACCAGUCCUGUCGGUAGAUAAAUCCGUUAUGAGAGAAGGAGAUGUCAUUACUGCUAACUGUAUGGCAGAGGGUGAAACUGGUUCACUAACGUUCUUCUUUAGAGAUGGAGAUGAGGAACUCUACAGCGAGUCCACCAAUAAUCACCAAGUUCAGCAAAAGCUGUCUCUUUCUAAGGGAACUUCGAAUCUGUUUUGCUUCUAUUUUAUUAGUCUAGGUGGCACAAUGGCACAGUCUAACAAAAGUGAAGUGAUCAAAGUUAACAUACAAGAGCUGAAGAUCAAACCUUCAAUCACAGUUAAGCCAUCAACAAAUGUCAUUGAAGGUGACACCAUAAACUUUAGAUGCAAUGUGGAUAUGAUUCAGCAGAAGAAUUCUGAACUCAGAAUCAGUCUCGUCCAUGGACGUACCACGCUCAGUUUUAACAUGACACAUAAGAAUUACACCAUGUCUGCUAAGGCAAAUGACUCUGGGGAAUUUGAGUGCAUUUCAAGCAUGGGAAAUGUUCAUAAGUCCGCCUCUGUGAGCAUCACUGUAAAAGAGCUUUUCUCCAAGCCUGUCUUGAGCAUUAUCCCAUCCAGUGUGUUUGAGAGAGAACGCUUCCACAUCAACUGUCAUGUCAAGAGCUUUGCCUCAGAGAGAAUCCAACAGGAUGACAUAAAGUACUCAAUAUUCAAAGACAAUACACUUAUAAUCAGUAAUGACAGAUACAGUGACACUGCAGGCAGAGCAACCAAUGGGAAAUAUAUGUGUUCGGCUGAAGCGAAAGGGAUUAUCAAAAAGAGCUUGGCUGAGUUAUUUGAAGCAAAAGUUCUUGUCUCAAAGCCUGAGAUCACUGUAGACGGUCCUGUUAUCGUGGGUAAGCCGUUUUGGAUCGUUUGUCACUCUGAGAAUGGAAGUCUGCCGAUUUUCUACACCCUGAAGAGAAAGCACUUUAAUGGGAACUGGACCGAUGCUUACAUUCAUAAUAAUAAGUCUCGUUUCUUGGCCAUGAUAUCAACUCCUGCAGACAUCAGUAGUUAUUUGUGUGAAGCAAAGAAUAACGGUCCAGCCUCAGCCAAGAUGAGUGAAAGGCUGUACGCGCCUGUAAUAGUUCCAGUAGGGAAGCCCUUACUCACAGUCAUCCCGGUACCAGGAAACACUGAAGAGGGUCAAGAUCUGACACUGAUAUGUGGCAUUCCAAAAGGCUCUCCACCCAUCAGUUUUACCUUUUAUCGCAGCACUCAUACACAACUUCACAACACCACAGUUCAAAGUAAUUCAUCCUCAUAUGUCCUGACUGCAGUGACCAGACAGGACAGUGGAUCGUACUACUGCAGAGCACUUAACUCAGCUGAGGAGGCGAGCAUGAGUGACCCCAUCACCGUUGAAGUGAGCCUGGCAACAUGGAAAAAGGCUUUGAUUGCUGCUUUCUGCAUGCUGUUAGUGGCCCCGCUGAUUCUUGUCUUUGCGAUGCGCUACAAGGCCAAGCGAGGUAAAAAAAGAGAUGGCUGCUGAACUAUCAGUAAAGCCUGCAAGCCCUAAAUCAGAUGAGUCUCUAACCCUGAGUCUCACCCAUGAUUACCCUCACACAGACGCAGAGUGACACUUUGACGCCCUGGAGGGGAAGGUGACCAAUGAGACUUAAAAUACUGUGACAUCACUUCCGGUCACUAAAAUUCAUUGGAGCAACUACAGAAUCCAGGCAAUAGUGUAGUAAAGGCUCCAAAAUUUGCAGGGGGAAAAAAGAAAUAAAUAUGAUAAAAAAUUAUUAGAAAACAAAAAGUGAUCUUUUAGAACUUUCAGAUAAUUCUUCCUUUUUCAACAAGGAAUGAACAGACUGUGCACUGUUGAAAGAAAGGAUUCCUGAGGGACAAAACGUCCCCUGUAGUUUGGAUGCUGUUAUGCAAACUUUUAUUGUUCAUUGUCUUUUAAAUGUCACAUUUUGCUGCUCCAUUGUUUACAGCUCUCCUUGCAACAACAGAAACAUUUUAAACUCAACCAUAACACAGCAGUUUGGCUCUACAUUUAUCUUAACAGCAUCUGAAUCACCCGUUUACUGUGUGCUUUUUUUGCUUGCAUGUGUUUUUGCUUCCAUCAUCAUGUGUUUGUUAAUUAUGCUGUUUAUUGGUUGAUUUGUGUGUUUGUUUCAUUCUAAUAGCCUCUUUGUAAGUGCUUUAUUUACUGUAAAGUACAACAAAGUACAACAAAAAGAUUAUGUGUGUAUAUAUUUUGGUUGGCAGAUAAACUGACAUUUGAUGCACUUGUAGAUUAAUAAAAUGCUUAAAAUUUGGAAUUUCGCAAUUUGGAAUUUUUUCCUCCUUAUUUAAAGGUGAAGUGUAUAAUUUCUGCACCACUAGCGGCAACAAACCGAAUUGUAAAACUAAAGACCAUUUUCAAACUGGUGGUCCUGCCCAACACACGAUUGGUUGAGUUAAUGCUGAUAUGUUUCAAUUUUGAAGAUGCAACGGGGCCAAAGUGUUUACACUUUUCAGGGAAAUCAACUUAAGAAUGGUUUACUCUCUGCUCAUUUAACUAGGAUAGGAGAUUUUAAACACUGAAAAACAAAUUACACACAUCACCUUUAAAGACUAUUAAAAUAUCUGUCUUACCCUCUGUUUUUUUUUUUUUUUUUUUAUAUUAACCUACUUAGACUUGACGUCAACCAGGUUAAAUUGAUAUUUUGAGAUUAUAGCUUUGUUAAAGACAUAUUUUUGUAAUCAAGGUCGACCCCUGUUUUAAACUACUUUUGGGAGUGAAAGUAUCUGCUUUGUAUAGGAUAUACCUCAGACAUACAGUACCUUUAUAUACCUCAGACAUACAGUACUCUAAAUGCAGGCCACAGGCUGAGAAAAUACAUCGAUUGCAGCUAUAGUGGAAACAAUGCAAAUACAAAUUAAGCUGUUCCUGUUAGCUUAGAUGUCAGAUUAGACUAAUCCUUAACCAGUACAAACAGUGGACUUGUUUUAAAAUGCAGAAUGUUAAGUAUAUAGAUGUGGUAAGAAAACAUUUGACUGAGAAUUCUAAAGCCCUUGGUGCUGAGAAUAAUAAAACCUCAGGAAAUGGAAUUGACACACUUGAAUCUACUAUUCUAGACCAUAAUGCUAGCAACAUCACAGUCAUGUGAUGUGGAUCCUCAAGGAACACAGAUACUAAUGAAAUGUAUACCUUUAAUAAACUAUAAGUCAUUUUGGAUAAAAUUAUCUGCUAAAUGAAAAAAAAAUUUUUACUGAUUAGUUAUUACUACUUAUCUUGACUGAUCUACUAUUUU